rnacentral:rRNA from 1 species
AUAGCGUAUAUUAAAGUUGUUGCAGUUAAAAAGCUCGUAGUUGAAUUUCUGGCCAGCGCUGUACUGGCUCCCUGAGUCGGUGCAGUGCUUGGUCAUCCGUAUGGGAAGCUAGCUCGGCCUUCACUGGUCGGCUAGUGGAUCAUACACUUUACUUUGAAAAAAUUAGAGUGUUUCAGGCAGGCAAUUGCUUGGAUACUUCAGCAUGGAAUAAUGGAAUAGGACUUUGACCUAUUUGUUGGUUUCUUGAGGUCAAAGUAAUGAUUAAUAGGGACAGUUGGGGGCAUUCGUAUUUAAUUGUCAGAGGUGAAAUUCUUGGAUUUAUUAAAGACGAACUUAUG